AUACGGAGGAUCCAAGCGUUAUCGGGAAUCAUUGGGUUUAAAGGGUCCGUAGGCGGGUUUAUAAGUCAGUGGUGAAAGUUUGCGGCUCAACCGUAAAAUUGCCAUUGAUACUGUAGAUCUUGAAUUAGUGUGAAGUGAUUAGAAUAAGUAGUGUAGCGGUGAAAUGCAUAGAUAUUACUUAGAAUACCAAUUGCGAAGGCAGGUCACUAACACUAUAUUGACGCUGAGGGACGAAAGCGUGGGGAGCGAACAGGAUUAGAAACCCCAGUAGUCC
rnacentral:rRNA from 1 species